GUCUACAGCCAUACCACCCUGAACGCGCCCGAUCUCGUCUGAUCUCGGAAGCUAAGCAGGGUCGGGCCUGGUUAGUACUUGGAUGGGAGAUGGUGGGUUAAUGGUAGUUCAUCUGGGGACA
ensembl:rRNA 5S_rRNA 5S ribosomal RNA